rnacentral:rRNA from 1 species
AUUGAACGCUGGCGGCAGGCCUAACACAUGCAAGUCGAGCGGAUGAAGGGAGCUUGCUCCUGGAUUCAGCUGCGGACGGGUGAGUAAUGCCUAGGAAUCUGCCUGGUAGUGGGGGAUAACGUCCGGAAACGGGCGCUAAUACCGCAUACGUCCUGAGGGAGAAAGUGGGGGAUCUUCGGACCUCACGCUAUCAGAUGAGCCUAGGUCGGAUUAGCUAGUUGGUGGGGUAAAGGCCUACCAAGGCGACGAUCCGUAACUGGUCUGAGAGGAUGAUCAGUCACACUGGAACUGAGACACGGUCCAGACUCCUACGGGAGGCAGCAGUGGGGAAUAUUGGACAAUGGGCGAAAGCCUGAUCCAGCCAUGCCGCGUGUGUGAAGAAGGUCUUCGGAUUGUAAAGCACUUUAAGUUGGGAGGAAGGGCAGUAAGUUAAUACCUUGCUGUUUUGACGUGACCAACAGAAUAAGCACCGGCUAACUUCGU